CCAAGAAUAGAAUUUCAUCACCCAGAGAUGCUUGCUCUCAAAACAUUUGUGCAGGGCAGCCAAGGGGAGUUGAUGAAUACCAGUUUAUAGUUCAGGUAUCCAAAGCUUUCUGGAAAUGUAUGACCGUGAAUAUCUUAAUUUUCAACAUACUGAAGAACAGGAAGUGUGUGGAAUGGACCAUGGAUGGAUGAGGUGAAAUCAAGUAGUUACAUGUUAGACUGGCUGUCAAGACGAAAACAAAACAGCAACUUUAAUAAACCUUGGGAGGUGAUGGGUCCACUACAUCUAGAGAUGGUCAUCAAAGGGAGGUUUCACCAGGCAUGCCUGGAUUAACACAGUGAGGUCUUUGGGACACACCUCUUCUGCUUCUUGCACACAGAGAUGAAGUCUCUCCCUGGCUUCACUGUCAGCCCUUGUCAGUGCAGAGGCUCUCAUCAUAAGUGCUGACAUUAAACCCGUGUUACUAUAUUACUUCAAGUUACCCAUCUCCAUGUUUGAAAUAGAGUUAAUCUUUUCCUCCUCACCCUGCCAUGAUUUCCUGUGGGCCUUAUUUAUUGUACCACUAGCUAAAAUUACACACAUUAAUGAGCCUGGCCACUCAGCAAAAAAAGUUGUAUUUUCAUUCCAUAUUAAAAUAACUCAUGCAUCUAGUUCAUGUUAAAAUGCUGGUUAAGAUGAAUUCUCUCUAGUUUUAAUGGAUGUUAAAUGGUUGGAGUAAAACUAUGUUGCCUUGACUAACACCCAAAUUAUAACUAUAACUGCUUUAUGUUUAUGAGGAUUUUAUAUGAGUUGAUUACCUUAAGCUAAUUUUAGAUAGAAUCUUUUUUUUUUCUAGUUAAGCAGUGGCACUGUUUGUAGACUGAUGUUAAGUGAUGUAUUCAGUCAUGUUAUGCUGGUUUGAUGGAACUAGUUCAAUUGAAAACAUGCACUUUUCCACCUAUCAUGGAGGCAAAGCCCAAGGGAUUAGCCUGGGGCUCAUUGAAUUGGUUGAUGUAUUUGAAUUGUUGCUUGUAAUUUGAAGAAAAUAUUUGGGUGUGUUUGCAAUAGCUUUUACAAUGGUGCUAAGAAUCUUGAUUUAACUGGAAAGCCUUUAUAAGUAGGAUUGUAUUUACACUAUAGAGUUUGACAGAACAGUUACAGAGUAUAGUAGCAUCACUGUUGUGCUUGAUGAAUUGUUGUCUGCUAAGAUUCAGAAUAAACUAUUCUAAAACCUGCCUUAGUCAAAAGGCAUAACAGCUUUGUAUCUGUGGGUUUCAGUACAGAGGAAAGAUUUAUAAGAAACGUAUCUGUGAU